rnacentral:rRNA from 1 species
AUUGAACGCUGGCGGCAUGCCUUACACAUGCAAGUCGAACGGCAGCACGGGUGCUUGCACCUGGUGGCGAGUGGCGAACGGGUGAGUAAUACAUCGGAACGUACCUUAUCGUGGGGGAUAACGCAGCGAAAGUUGCGCUAAUACCGCAUACGCCCUGAGGGGGAAAGCGGGGGACCGUAAGGCCUCGCGCGAUUAGAGCGGCCGAUGUCUGAUUAGCUUGUUGGUGAGGUAAAAGCUCACCAAGGCGAUGAUCAGUAGCUGGUCUGAGAGGACGAUCAGCCACACUGGGACUGAGACACGGCCCAGACUCCUACGGGAGGCAGCAGUGGGGAAUUUUGGACAGUGGGGGCAACCCUGAUCCAGCAAUGCCGCGUGAGUGAAGAAGGCCUUCGGGUUGUAAAGCUCUUUUGUCAGGGAAGAAACAGCAGCUCUAACACAGUCUGCGAAUGACGGUACCUGAAGAAUAAGCACCGGCUAACUACGUG